GUUCGAUUCUGGCUCAGGUCGACAGCAGCAGGAUGCUUACGCUUACAGUCGAACGGCAGCACGGACUUCGGUCUGGUGGCGAGUGGUGAACGGGUGAGUAAUGUAUCGGAACGUGCCUAGUAGCGGGGGAUAACUACACGCCCGAAGCGUAGCUAAUACCGCAUACGCCCUUCGGGAAGCGGGGGACCUUCGGGCCUCGCACUAUUAGAGCGGCCGAUAUCGGAUUGGCUAGUUGGUGGGGUAACGGCUCACCAAGGCGACGAUCCGUAGCUGGUUUGAAGGACGACCAGCCGCACUGGGACUGAGACACGGCCCAGACUCCUACGGGAGGCAGCAGUGGGGGAAUUUUGGACAAUGGGGAAACCUGAUCCAGCCAUCCCGCGUGUGCGAUGACCUUCGGGUUGUAAAGCGCCUGGCAGGAAAGAAACGGCACGGGAUAAUACCCCGAUACAGCGGCUAUUACCUGCAAGUGCUUCAGCUAACACGUACCAGCAGCCCGCGUGUCACGUAGGGUACAGCGUUAAUCGGAAUUACUGGGCAUGCGUGUGCGCAGGCGGUUCGGAAAGAAAAGAUGUGAAAUCCCAGAGCUUAACUUUGGAACUGCAUUUUAACUACCGAGCUAGAGUGUGUCAGAGGAGAUUUAGAAUUCGCGAUAACGGUGAAAUGCAUGGUCUCAGAAGAAUUUCAAAUGGCGAAGGCGGUUCUCAUGGGAUAACACUGACGCUCAUGCACGAAAAGCGUGGGGCAAACAAGUUGAUGCCCUGGUAGUCCACGCCCUAAACGAUGUCAACUAGCUGUUGGGGCCUUCGGAAGACGGUAGCUACACACCAGCCUAACGCGUGAAGUUGACCAUAAGAGAUACAGUCGCAAGAUUAAAACUCAAAGGAAUUGACGGGGACCCGCACAAGCGGUGGAUGAUGUGGAUUAAUUCGAUGCAACGCCGAAAAGAGCGCCCACCUACCCUUGACGCUGUCUGGAAUCCCGAAGAGAUUUAGGAGUGCUCGCAAAGAGAACCGGAACACAGGUGCUGCAUGGCUGUCGUCGCUCGUGUCGUGAGAUGUUGGGUUAAGUCCGCAACGAGCGCAACCCUUGUCAUUAGUUGCUACGAAAGGGCACUCUGGCCUAAGGACUGCAUUAAAACAGGAGGAAGGUGUAAGGAUGACAUUCAAAGAUAUCACUGGCUACUUAUGGGUAGGGCUUCACACACGUCAUACAAUGGUGGACAGAGGUCUUCAACCCGCGGGAGGCCAAUCGGAAACCGAUAGCUGGUCCGGAUCGCGAUUAAUAUUGCGUGAAGUCAAAUCCUUUAAUAAUCGCGGAUCCGGCCUUCGCUGAUGAAUGCGAUUAAGGUCUUACACACCACUUCGUACCACCGCGGGUGCUGGGUUUAAGUGAGUUAACUACAACAUGGAGGGCGGUGCCACGAAAGUAGGAUUCCCAUGACAGGGUGAAGGUCAACUCAGGUAG
rnacentral:rRNA from 1 species